rnacentral:tRNA from 1 species
GGGCUCGUAGCUCAGUUGGAUAGAGUGCCGCCCUCCGAAGGCGGAAGUCGCUGGUUCGAAUCCAGUCGAGCCCA